GUCCACGCCCUAAACUAUGUCAACUGGUUGUUGGGUCUUCACUGACUCAGUAACGAAGCUAACGCGUGAAGUUGACCGCCUGGGGAGUACGGCCGCAAGGUUGAAACUCAAAUGAAUUGACGGGGACCCGCACAAGCGGUGGAUGAUGUGGUUUAAUUCGAUGCAACGCGAAAAACCUUACCCACCUUUGACAUGUACGGAAUUCGCCAGAGAUGGCUUAGUGCUCGAAAGAGAGCCGUAACACAGGUGCUGCAUGGCUGUCGU
rnacentral:rRNA from 1 species